rnacentral:misc_RNA from 1 species
GGGAAGGAAAAGGAUGAAAACAACCUUGAUAUUGAGGGUAACAUGAAAGAACAUCAUUUUUAAACACAAAAAUGUAGGAUUGCUUAGCUUUAUCUCGAGUACUAAGUAAAGAUUACCUAUCAAAAUUAUCAAAUAGACCAACAUAAAUCUGAAAGAAAGAGAGGUUUGGUUUUCAUUUAAUCCCAACUUGAUAUUUCUGAUUUUGUUUGGUGUCUAGCAUAUUGAAUGAGUAGAGCUUGUGCCACUCAAAUCAUGCACUGUAAAUAUUUGUCUGCUUUAGAAAAUAGUGUUUCCCACUGUCUACUGAUGUUGUAAUAAAAUUUUUACAAUAUUUGCAAAUGACAUUAUGCCAUAUGUAUCAUAGUCUGUUGCAUGUCCACUAUUGUUAGGUCUUCUGGACUUUGCUAUUCUUUACAGCUCGUUUAGGAAUAUAUUUUU